rnacentral:lncRNA from 1 species
AUGCCAGCUUUGUCAGACCGCAGCCUGACAAUCGGCUCCCGAGAGAAAGCUCCAUUUGAGGGAAGAAGCGGCAGAUUCUUUGAGAAGUGGGAAAACCCAGUAUGGAGUGAAGGUAAGAGAAAGAAUGGCACAGAAAGAGGCGCUGGGGUGAUGUCCAGGGCAGAGUUCAACUUUUCUAUCAUUUUAUCAUUUUUCCAGGGUGUAGAACUGCCUGAGCCAGCAAAUCUCUCUCUUUUGUUUCCUCCAAGGAUUUCUCCAAGAGUAGAAGUCAGCCACCCAGACAGCUCUCUCAGUUAUAAACAACUGCAUGACCCCUUAGCCAAGGAGGAGGAAGGAAGAUCAUGGGAGGACAAGCCAGAUCAACGAUAGCCUGGGUAACAGCAGCUGCAUCAGAGCCGUGACAUUCAUUCUGCAGCUACAAGGACAACAGAGCAGUCCAACAGCCGAUUCCACGUGCAGCAUGCUGAAGCCUAGGAAGGUGAGGUGAGGUGAGGCGAGAUGGGGUGGCUUUGCUAACAUCUGGCAGCAGGUGGCUGAGCAACCAGAGAAGGGAGCACCUCCCCACAGUGACUGGGUGCUUUCCACUGUUGUGGAAUAACGGGCUAGACCACUGCUGGGGAUGCCUGCAUCCCAUAUCAGAGAGCCGGUCUGAGUCCUGGCUGCUCUGGUUCCAAUCCAGCUCCCUGCUAAUGCACCUGGGAAGGCAGUGGAUGAUGGACCAAGUACUUGGAACCCUGAAACCUCAUGGGAGACCCACAUGCAGUUCCUGGCUCCUGGUUUCUAUCUGGUCCAAAACUGGCUAUUGCAGCCAUCUGGGAAGUGAACCAGCAGACGGAAAAUCUCUCUCUCUCUCUCUCUCUCUCUCUCUCUCUUCUGCCUUUCAAAUAGUAAAUAAAUCUUUUUAAAAAUCAAUAUAUUUGAUGCUU